rnacentral:rRNA from 1 species
UACGAAGGGGGCUAGCGUUGUUCGGAAUCACUGGGCGUAAAGCGUAUGUAGGCGGAUUGUUAAGUCAGGGGUGAAAUCCCGGAGCUCAACCUCGGAACUGCCUUUGAUACUGGCUGUCUUGAGUCCGGGAGAGGUGAGUGGAACUCCUAGUGUAGAGGUGAAAUUCGUAGAUAUUAGGAAGAACACCAGUGGCGAAGGCGGUUCUCUGGGACGGUACUGGACGCUGAGACGCGAAAGCGUGGGGAGCGAACGAGG